UACAGAGGGGGCAAGCGUUGUUCGGAAUUACUGGGCGUAAAGGGCGCGUAGGCGGCCUGUUAAGUCGGACGUGAAAUCCCUCGGCUCAACCGGGGAACUGCGUCCGAUACUGGCGGGCUUGAGUUCGGGAGAGGGAUGUGGAAUUCCAGGUGUAGCGGUGAAAUGCGUAGAUAUCAGGAGGAACACCGGUGGCGAAGGCGGCUCUCUGGACAAAUACCGACGCUGAGGCACGAAAGCUAGGGGAGCAAACAGG
rnacentral:rRNA from 1 species